CCUAUCAUGAACUUUGUUCUCAUAACUUUCAACUUUAUUUAUUUUAUGUUCUUUUUUUAAAUUACAUUAAAAACUUAACAUUGUAGAUUAUACUAGUAAUGUUUUAAGAACCAGGGAAAAUUCUGCUAAUAUAUUUUGACUGUUUAUUAUCCUAAUUCUGCCUUUGUUCUCGAAAUAUUACUACUUUAAGCCAUAAAGUUGAGGUUUUAUUUGAUUUGUUAUUUUAUCCAUCCAGAGUAUGAAAUGUACGUUCUGGUGCUUGUUCUCUUUUUUAGCCCCCAUCCAAAAGCUUCCAAAAGCCACCCACUUAUGAAACUACAUUCAAGGCUGUCUUGGUGACCUGAGUGAUUGUUGUUUUAUUCCUGUGUGCUUUUAGGUGAGUGUUUUAUGCUCAAUCGCCCUCUCUAACACAAACCCAGAAUUUACUGGCACCUCUCACAGGCAUGACUGACAGAACACAGCCAAUACUCACAGUUGGCAGCAACUCUCCAAAAGAACCAUGCUGCUCUGGCUUACGUUUUAUUUAUAGCAGAUACCUGGUAAUGAAUACCUAGCCGCCGCCAAUCGCUUGUGUUAUCUGCUGAAUGUGUGCAACGUCGUCUUGUAAUUUUCCAAACAAAGUUUUGUUUUUGUAUUCAUUUGCUUUUCUGUUGAGAGGUCCGGUCUCCACGUGGCCAAUAGAGAGCAAGGAAGCCCCGGCAGGCAGGAAGCUACACCUCCCGUCGUACCGAAUGAGUUGCAGCAUUCAGUCUUCAGCCUAUGCAACGGUAAACCGAAGAGAUGAUCAAAUUUGAGUUGAGGACGCGCGUGCAGUUUAAAGAGAACGUUUUUACACAGGUACAUGCAAAUCCUGAUGAGAUCGGUCCGGGCACGACGUGACUUUAAAAGUGCUCCUGUAGCAGCAAAAGGAGGAUGCUGGGAAGAGGAGGUCAGAGGUUCAGCCGUCAAAGAGGUUCACGAGUGAUGGAUGGCAGUCUGAGCUGCGCACAGCACAUCUACUGUAGCCUUAACCGCCGAAAAGGCCUGCACACAACACAAAUAAAUAAAUAAACACGCACAUCAAAGGAAUUUUCAAAAAGAAAAACAAAGCCAGAGCACGUUCGCAAACUCACACUUACACACACACACACACACACACACACACGUACACACCCGUGCCAGAAAUAAAAAAAGAAAGCAAGCAGUCAAAGGCCUGAAAAUGCACACAUAGUUAACUGUCUGAUAACGGCAGGCUUGAGGAAAAUGAGACAAAACAAAACAAUGGCGAGAAGCAUAUGUGUAAUUGUGCAUUCGGUUUGAAAAUAUUGGGAUAAGAUUUUGCUGAAACUGAUUGAUGCCAUUCUCUCUUGGAAGAUAGUGGGCCUUGUUUCCUCGUACACAAUAUUGCUUGUGUCGUGACCUGGGAUGCAAAGAACGAAACGGCUGAAAUGCAUUUCACCAUGUAAAAGUACUUUCUUGAAAUGAGCAAACUGUAAUUUAAUCCAAAUUAUCCAUAUGACUCCAGCCCAUCAAUUAAUGUCUAGAGAAGCGAAGAGCUGCGUGUUUGCAAGAAUCGAAUCCAUCGUUGAGGCUUUUUAACUUCAACCAUUGCUUCUGGCCAAAAUAUAAGUCCUUAAUCCAUACUAACGCUUCCUCCAGUGAAAAGUCCCCUGUUUUCUUUCACAUCAAAAUCCAGACAUAUUUGAAAUGAACUUAUGGCUCUUGAUCUGUUCAUAUUUCACUCCUGAUUUAGAUGAGAAGACUUUUUUUCACUGAAGACCCUGUAUUUUAGCCAGAAGCGAUGGUUUUAAGUUCUAAAUUCCUUGAUGGGGUUAUUACACACAUACAGCUUUUUUCUUUACAAGAUGUUAAGUGGAGUCGUGUGGAUUAUUUAUGGAUUACUAUUAUGUUUUUUAUCACCUGCAGAUGAUCCAUUAGUGAGCUGUGAUGUAAUGCUCAUUUACUCCGAAUCUGUUUCGAAACGGAAAACAAACGCAUCUCCAUCUUAGUUGACCCGAAGUUGAGUACGUUUCCAGCUAAUUUUCAUUGAUUUCAUUUAAUUAACUAUGCUUUCUGCUUCAGAGUAAAAUAGAAACAAAAAGUAAAGUUUAAGAUAAAAAAAUAUAAAGAUUUUUUAUUUCUCAUCUUAAA